ACGGAAGGUCCAGGCGUUAUCCGGAUUCAUUGGGUUUAAAGGGAGCGUAGGCCGCCUUUUAAGCGUGUUGUGAAAUGUAGGGGCUCAACCCCUGCACUGCAGCGCGAACUGGAGGGCUUGAGUACACACAAAGUAGGCGGAAUUCAUGGUGUAGCGGUGAAAUGCUUAGAUAUCAUGAAGAACCCCGAUUGCGAAGGCAGCUUACUGGAGUGUAACUGACGCUGAAGCUCGAAAGCGCGGGUAUCGAACAG
rnacentral:rRNA from 1 species